rnacentral:rRNA from 2 species
AAUGGGUCAGCGACUUAUAUUCUGUAGCAAGGUUAACCGAAUAGGGGAGCCGGAGGGAAACCGAGUCUUAAUUGGGCGUUAAGUUGCAGGGUAUAGACCCGAAACCCGGUGAUCUAGCCAUGGGCAGGUUGAAGGUUGGGUAACACUAACUGGAGGACCGAACCGACUAAUGUUGAAAAAUUAGCGGAUGACCUGUGGCUGGGGGUGAAAGGCCAAUCAAACCGGGAGAUAGCUGGUUCUCCCCGAAAGCUAUUUAGGUAGCGCCUCGUGAAUUCAUCUCCGGGGGUAGAGCACUGUUUCGGCUAGGGGGCCAUCCCGGCUUACCAACCCGAUGCAAACUGCGAAUACCGGAGAAUGUUAUCACGGGAGACACACGGCGGGUGCUAACGUCCGUCGUGAAGAGGGAAACAACCCAGACCGCCAGCUAAGGUCCCAAAGUCAUGGUUAAGUGGGAAACGAUGUGGGAAGGCCCAGACAGCCAGGAUGUUGGCUUAGAAGCAGCCAUCAUUUAAAGAAAGCGUAAUAGCUCACUGGUCGAGUCGGCCUGCGCGGAAGAUGUAACGGGGCUAAACCAUGCACCGAAGCUGCGGCAGCGACACUGUGUGUUGUUGGGUAGGGGAGCGUUCUGUAAGCCUGUGAAGGUGUGUCGUGAGGCAUGCUGGAGGUAUCAGAAGUGCGAAUGCUGACAUAAGUAACGAUAAAGCGGGUGAAAAGCCCGCUCGCCGGAAGACCAAGGGUUCCUGUCCAACGUUAAUCGGGGCAGGGUGAGUCGACCCCUAAGGCGAGGCCGAAAGGCGUAGUCGAUGGGAAACGGGUUAAUAUUCCCGUACUUGGUGUUACUGCGAAGGGGGGACGGAGAAGGCUAUGUUGGCCGGGCGACGGUUGUCCCGGUUUAAGCGUGUAGGUGUGUGUUCCAGGUAAAUCCGGUUCACUUUAACACUGAGGCGUGACGACGAGGCACUACGGUGCUGAAGCAACAAAUGCCCUGCUUCCAGGAAAAGCCUCUAAGCAUCAGGUAACAUCAAAUCGUACCCCAAACCGACACAGGUGGUCAGGUAGAGAAUACCAAGGCGCUUGAGAGAACUCGGGUGAAGGAACUAGGCAAAAUGGUGCCGUAACUUCGGGAGAAGGCACGCUGACACGUAGGUGAAGUGAUUUACUCAUGGAGCUGAAGUCAGUCGAAGAUACCAGCUGGCUGCAACUGUUUAUUAAAAACACAGCACUGUGCAAACACGAAAGUGGACGUAUACGGUGUGACGCCUGCCCGGUGCCGGAAGGUUAAUUGAUGGGGUCAGCGCAAGCGAAGCUCCUGAUCGAAGCCCCGGUAAACGGCGGCCGUAACUAUAACGGUCCUAAGGUAGCGAAAUUCCUUGUCGGGUAAGUUCCGACCUGCACGAAUGGCGUAAUGAUGGCCAGGCUGUCUCCACCCGAGACUCAGUGAAAUUGAACUCGCUGUGAAGAUGCAGUGUACCCGCGGCAAGACGGAAAGACCCCGUGAACCUUUACUAUAGCUUGACACUGAACAUUGAGCCUUGAUGUGUAGGAUAGGUGGGAGGCUUUGAAGUGUGGACGCCAGUCUGCAUGGAGCCGACCUUGAAAUACCACCCUUUAAUGUUUGAUGUUCUAACGUGGACCCGUUACCCGGGUUGCGGACAGUGUCUGGUGGGUAGUUUGACUGGGGCGGUCUCCUCCUAAAGAGUAACGGAGGAGCACGAAGGUUGGCUAAUCCUGGUCGGACAUCAGGAGGUUAGUGCAAUGGCAUAAGCCAGCUUGACUGCGAGCGUGACGGCGCGAGCAGGUGCGAAAGCAGGUCAUAGUGAUCCGGUGGUUCUGAAUGGAAGGGCCAUCGCUCAACGGAUAAAAGGUACUCCGGGGAUAACAGGCUGAUACCGCCCAAGAGUUCAUAUCGACGGCGGUGUUUGGCACCUCGAUGUCGGCUCAUCACAUCCUGGGGCUGAAGUAGGUCCCAAGGGUAUGGCUGUUCGCCAUUUAAAGUGGUACGCGAGCUGGGUUUAGAACGUCGUGAGACAGUUCGGUCCCUAUCUGCCGUGGGCGCUGGAGAACUGAGGGGGGCUGCUCCUAGUACGAGAGGACCGGAGUGGACGCAUCACUGGUGUUCGGGUUGUCAUGCCAAUGGCACUGCCCGGUAGCUAAAUGCGGAAGAGAUAAGUGCUGAAAGCAUCUAAGCACGAAACUUGCCCCGA